GUCGAAGGUGGGGCUGAUGACUGGGGUGAAGUCGUAACAAGGUAUCCGUACCGGAAGGUGCGGAUGGAUCACCUCCUAACAGGGAGACAAAACAAUGAUUUUGAUGUCUGAGUAUUUCAUUCUUAGGCCGAAAUCCUGUCACCUUAGGUCGAUCGGUACCUCAACAUUUUUCCAAAGAUUGGUGAGCAAUCAUCAAGAGAUUGGAAGGGAUGUUCAGUUCCUAAACUUUGUCUAGGUCACACCCCGCAAGGGAAGAGUCCCCUGGGCCAUUAGCUCAGGUGGUUAGAGCGCACCCCUGAUAAGGGUGAGGUCCCUGGUUCAAGUCCAGGAUGGCCCAUUCGGUGUUGGGGGUUUAGCUCAGUUGGUAGAGCGCCUGCUUUGCAAGCAGGAUGUCAGGAGUUCGAGUCUCCUAACCUCCACUGACAGAACUCAAUCUCCAUUGUCCGGUAACUCGGAGGAUGAACUCAAAGGUGUGUGAUUUAGAUGUGUCCACUAGAUAGGACCCUAGCUUCCUGUCAUUCCGAACAAGUGAUUAUUGCUUGAUUGGCUGAUAUGAUGCUGGGCUCAAAUUAAUCAAAAGAUUAAUUUGAUCUCUAGUAGAACCUUGACAACUGCAUAAGUAAGUCUGGAAAAACGAAGCAUCUUACAGAUGCAUUGUUUUAAGUCUGAAUUCUCGAAAGAGAGUUUGGAUCUAGAAUGAUGAAAAUUCUUUUAAGCAAGAGCCGAGACUCUUAGAUGUUCUUUUUAUCGUGUCGAGCGAUAAAGAGUUUGAUUUUGUUUUUAUGAGCAGCGAAAGUUGCUGAUGAAACCAGAAGAAUCUGCUUUCAACCGCAGUAAGCGUUUAAGAGGUUAAUUGGUCAAGCUACAA
rnacentral:misc_RNA from 1 species